rnacentral:lncRNA from 1 species
UUCCUCCUUGGCCUGGCAGGGGUGGGGCCUGCCAGGGAGUGCCUUGCUGGGAAGGGAGGGCAAAGGGCCAUGUCUUUCGCUUGCUCCACCCAGCUGCCAAGAGUCCCAGUCACCAGGCCACCCUAAGUCCCAGCCCUUGAGGGUAAGUGUUCUUCUGAACACAGCUGCCUCGUCCUUCCCUGAUGACUGGGUCCAUGAGACUGGGGCAGCAGCAGGGGCAGGUACAGAGCACCUCAGCCGCCUCUCCACCUGACAGCAACAUCAAAGCCGAGGCCAAGGCGGGAGGGCCCAGAGUGAGACACCUCUUCCAGACAAGACUUGGUCGCUGCCUCCUCCUCUGUCACCCUGCGACACAGCCCAGAGUACCAGGCGGCUGGAGCACUGGGGGACACCCGGACAGAACCCUCCCUGGACCAAGUCCUCCAGGAACGGGAUGAAGCCAUUGCCAAGAAGCAGGCGGUGGAGGCGGAGCUGCAGAGAUGCAAAGCCAGGCUACACGCCAUGGAGGCCCAGCUGCUGGAGGUCCUGGAGGAGAAACUGAGGCUGAGGCGGGAGCUGGAGGCCUGGGAGGAGGACGUGCAGCAGCUGGUGUGGCAGCAGGUCCAGAAUCAGCUGCAGAGAGAGGCCAAGGGUACUCGGGGAGCCCACGUGGACCCUGGAGCUGCCAGCACCCCCCGAUCCAGAUUCUCCCUGGGUCGGGGACGUUGGUGGUGA